rnacentral:tRNA from 1 species
GAGAUGUUAGUAAAACAAUUACACAGCCUUGUCAAGACUGAAUUGCAAGUGAAAGCCUUGCACAUCUCC